AUUGAACGCUAGCGGCAUGCUUUACACAUGCCAGUCGAACGGCAGCACGAAAAGAGCUUGCUCUUUUUGGUGGCGAGUGGCGAACGGGUGAGUAAUGUAUCGGAACGUACCCAGUAGCGGGGGAUAACUACGCGAAAGCGUGGCUAAUACCGCAUACGCCCAACGGGGGAAAGGGGGGGAUCGCAAGACCUCUCACUAUUGGAACGGCCGAUAUCGGAUUAGCUAGUUGGUGGGGUAAAGGCUCACCAAGGCAACGAUCCGUAGCUGGUUUGAGAGGACGACCAGCCACACUGGGACUGAGACACGGCCCAGACUCCUACGGGAGGCAGCAGUGGGGAAUUUUGGACAAUGGGGGAAACCCUGAUCCAGCCAUCCCGCGUGUGCGAUGAAGGCCUUCGGGUUGUAAAGCACUUUUGGCAGGGAAGAAACGGCGCUGACUAAUACUUGGCGGAACUGACGGUACCUGCAGAAUAAGCACCGGCUAACUACGUG
rnacentral:rRNA from 1 species